rnacentral:snRNA from 2 species
GUGCUCACUUCAGCAGCAGAUAUACCAAAAUUGGAAAGUUACGGAGAUUACCAGGGUGCCACGCAAGGAUGACACACAAAUUCAUGAAGUCUUCCAUAUUUUU